rnacentral:rRNA from 1 species
AACGAACGCUGGCGGCAGGCUUAACACAUGCAAGUCGAACGCACCUUUCGGGGUGAGUGGCAGACGGGUGAGUAACGCGUGGGAAUCUACCCUUCUCUACGGGAUAGCUCCGGGAAACUGGAAUUAAUACCGUAUACGUCCUGAGGGAGAAAGAUUUAUCGGGGAAGGAUGAGCCCGCGUUGGAUUAGCUAGUUGGUGGGGUAAAGGCCUACCAAGGCGACGAUCCAUAGCUGGUCUAAGAGGAUGAUCAGCCACAUUGGGACUGAGACACGGCCCAAACUCCUACGGGAGGCAGCAGUGGGGAAUAUUUGACAAUGGGCGCAAGCCUGAUCCAGCCAUGCCGCGGGAGGUAUGAAGGCCCUAGGGUUGUAAAGCUCUUUCAGUGGGGACGAUAAUGACGGUACCCACAGAAGAAGCCCCGGCUAACUUCGUU